rnacentral:tRNA from 1 species
GCCUGGGUGGCUCAGUCGGUUAAGUAUCUGACUUCAGCUCAGGUGAUGGUCAAAUGAUUCGUGGGUUCGAGCCCCAUAUUGGGCU